UACACUCCUGCGGGAGGCAGCAGUGGGGAAUUUUGGACAAUGGGCGAAAGCCUGAUCCAGCAAUGCCGCGUGUGUGAAGAAGGCCUUCGGGUUGUAAAGCACUUUUGUCCGGAAAGAAAUCCUUGGCUCUAAUACAGUCGAGGGAUGACGGUACCGGAAGAAUAAGCACCGGCUAACUACGUGCCAGCAGCCGCGGUAAUACGUAGGGUGCGAGCGUUAAUCGGAAUUACUGGGCGUAAAGCGUGCGCAGGCGGUUUGCUAAGACCGAUGUGAAAUCCCCGGGCUCAACCUGGGAACUGCAUUGGUGACUGGCAGGCUAGAGUAUGGCAGAGGGGGGUAGAAUUCCACGUGUAGCAGUGAAAUGCGUAGAGAUGUGGAGGAAUACCGAUGGCGAAGGCAGCCCCCUGGGCCAAUACUGACGCUCAUGCACGAAAGCGUGGGGAGCAAACAGGAUUAGAUACCCUUGUAGUCCCAUG
rnacentral:rRNA from 1 species